rnacentral:misc_RNA from 1 species
CUGAGUGAGGGAGCAAUCCCGACCUCCAACCCUUUGUGAACUUAUCUUGUUGCUUCGGGGGCGACCCUGCCGUUCGCGGCAUUCCCCCCGGAGGUCAUCAAAACACUGCAUUAUUGCGUUGGAGUAAAAAGUUAAUUUAAUA